AUUGAACGCUGGCGGCAUGCCUUACACAUGCAAGUCGAACGGCAGCACGGGAGCAAUCCUGGUGGCGAGUGGCGAACGGGUGAGUAAUAUAUCGGAACGUGCCCAGUCGUGGGGAUAACGUAGCGAAAGCUACGCUAAUACCGCAUACGAUCUAUGGAUGAAAGCGGGGGAUCGCAAGACCUCGCGCGAUUGGAGCGGCCGAUAUCAGAUUAGGUAGUUGGUGAGGUAAAGGCUCACCAAGCCGGCGAUCUGUAGCUGGUCUGAGAGGACGACCAGCCACACUGGGACUGAGACACGGCCCAGACUCCUACGGGAGGCAGCAGUGGGGAAUUUUGGACAAUGGGCGCAAGCCUGAUCCAGCAAUGCCGCGUGCAGGAUGAAGGCCUUCGGGUUG
rnacentral:rRNA from 1 species